AGAGUUUGAUCCUGGCUCAGAACGAACGCUGGCGGCAUGCCUAACACAUGCAAGUCGAACGAGACCUUCGGGUCUAGUGGCGCACGGGUGCGUAACGCGUGGGAAUCUGCCCUGGGGUACGGAAUAACUCAGAGAAAUUUGAGCUAAUACCGUAUGAUGACGUAAGUCCAAAGAUUUAUCGCCCUGGGAUGAGCCCGCGUAGGAUUAGCUAGUUGGUGAGGUAAAGGCUCACCAAGGCGACGAUCCUUAGCUGGUCUGAGAGGAUGAUCAGCCACACUGGGACUGAGACACGGCCCAGACUCCUACGGGAGGCAGCAGUGGGGAAUAUUGGACAAUGGGCGAAAGCCUGAUCCAGCAAUGCCGCGUGAGUGAUGAAGGCCUUAGGGUUGUAAAGCUCUUUUACCCGGGAAGAUAAUGACU
rnacentral:rRNA from 1 species